CACGCCCUAAACGAUGAUUACUCGACAUACGCGAUACACAGUGUGUGUCUGAGCGAAAGCAUUAAGUAAUCCACCUGGGAAGUACNUACGCGAGGAACCUUACCUGGGCUAGAAUGCUGCCUGACUGUUCCUGAAAGGGGAUUUUAUAGCAAUAUACAGGUAGUAAGGUGC
rnacentral:rRNA from 1 species